AAAAUGAGUCAUAGAGCAGUAAGCUUGUAAUAUAACUUAAAUACCAUCUAAUUUGUUCACUGACCUUUACAGAUAUGGAAACUGAGCCCUCACACAUGGACUGAAUUCUGACAAGCAGAGGAUAAAGGCAGAACAACAUGACUGAAGGGAAGAUGCUUUUGUGAUAUAUCCCAGCAUGCUGAUGACCCCAAGGAGGACCACUGGAUACCUAGCAAGGAGCUGGCUGCAGCAUACCAUGAAUCCUCACAGCAACUUAAUGAGGAAAAAGAAGAACUGAUUGAAGAGUGGCAACCAGAACCUCUUGUUCCUCCUGUCCCAAAAGACCAUCCUGCUCUCAACUACAACAUCGUUUCAGGUUCCUCUGGCAGCCCUCCUCAAGGACCUCUGUGAGACAAAGUCAGAAAUGACUUCACUGGAGACCAAGAGAGCCCACAGAGCUCUUCCUGCUGCUUCUUCUACCCUUGUACUCACUCGGCUCUCUAAAUUUGUCUCAGCUCCAGGUGCCCAGGAUGAAAAUCUGUGAAACAAAGCAUCAGG
rnacentral:lncRNA from 1 species